CCCCGCCCCAGCCUGGGAACCCCGAGCUGUGGGCCGGGAAGGAAGGAAAGCAGCCCUCUCAGUUGGCGGGCCGCGCACUGGGCUGGGCUCAGGGGAGGCGAGAAGAGCCGGGCAGAGAUGCCCUCGCUGGGGAGGGAGGGAUCCUGGGCUGCAGCCGCCACCACGGGUCACAAGCCGGGAUCCUCAAGGCUGCUAGGCUGGUGAGAGCAAGGAGUGGGUGGGGGCCGGGACAGUGGCUCGGGACAAGGCAAUAACGCGGGCUCACUGGUGAAAUCCAAGCCAGGCCGGGCACACUUCGCGAGAAGCUUAGAGGGCACCUAGUCUUGGGGGCCCUGAGGCUCUGCACUCCAGCCCCAGGGCCUCGCAGGAGGCAGAUUUCCCCACUGCUUAGGGCUUAGCCCUUUUUCAAAGCUAGACUUGCUGGGAGUCCUCGGAGGGAGUUAAGAUCCUCCUGGGCCUGGGCCAGGGAGCAGCAGUGGCAGUGCCCGAAUCUGGCAUCGCAGUCUCUCUGGGAAGAAUCCUCAGCUUUGAGAAGCCGCACACGCCCCGAGGGCGCGCUCCACCGCGUCCGGGCAUCCGUGCCGGGCUCGCUCCAGGCACCAGUACACACGAGGUGGCGCGAGUCUCUUCUCAGGCUCGGGCAAUCCGAGACGAGAGGAAAUGAGAGCGAGAUUUUCUGACUUCCACCUCAUUAGGGACCAGAGGAGAUUCCAGCCUCAGAAGAGAAAAUCUCUCCUUGCCUGGCCACUCCAAGGUGCCUCAAGGAAUGUUUUUUCUUUCAAGAGAACAAGUGGAGAAAAGGAAAUUCCAAAUCAGGAUGAUUUGAUAGGUGGUGACAUUUCAUAUUCUCAAGUUUAGAUAUGGUAAUGAUCUGCUGAUGUGAGAUUGCACUCUAAGAUCCAAGUCUUAUCACUCUUUAGGAGGAAAAGGUGAGAACUUACCAGGAUGGCCUCAUCAAUCAGAAAAAGAUUUAAAAGACUUCUUGAGCUUAAAUCAUCACAGAAGGUUCUUCGUUGUCUUGUCCUCUCACAUUAAAGGUAGGACUCCCUACUCUGGACCCCUGCAGGGGCUCAAAAGAUUUGUGGAAUACUGUUUCACAGAGGAAAGGAAUGAUGCAAUGAGGCAAUUAAAUAAACAUGUACAUCCUUCAGCUUCCUCCCCUGCACUGCAGAAAGGCAAAUUGCUAAAACUUUCAGACAUCAUAACAUUUGCUAAAUUAGUCAGCAGAGACAUCAUCAUCGUAGCAACAAGCAGUUUUGGAAAAGGUUCUCAUUCUUCAAUAUCAGGCACAGACACUGACUGAAUGGCUCCAAUUAUCAAGAUGCGAAAAUCUAAAUCAGAACCCGCCACUCUGUUCCACUGCAUAGGAGAUCUCACAGAAAACACAACAUAAAAUGAAAAAGCAUUCCUUCAGUGUGUUCAGCCAAGUUUGUUGGUGCUUGCUGGGUGCUCCAUCUGUGAGUUUGUUUCAUUCUCCUAGCAGUUGCAAGGAGUGCCACAUAAUACAGGAUUAUGGGUUCAAGUGUUUUAAGAUGUACUUCCUGAAAUAUCACAAAUAUACAUAAAGUGAAACACAUUAACUCUUCAGAAGGUACAGGAAGAACUGUAAGGAUCAUGAAAGAUAUGGACCCCAUAUGCUGGAGAAGUUAUCUGAUAUUUAAACCUUCAGAUGUUAAUUAUUCAUAAUGAAUGAUUGAGAAUUUUGGAGUCAGAGACUCACCUGCAAUAUUUGGAAUACCAGUGGAGGUCUACAUCAACACAGAAUUUAUACAGCAGCUGGUGCUAGUCAAAGCUAAUGAUGGAAUUUCAGUUUAAUAAAAAGACCCCCAACUGAGCACACCAUCUUGAAAAAAGUACACUUAUCAAACAGCUUUCAAUCAGUUCAAGAGAGACACCUUAAUUGGGAAGAGAAAGAACUGUGGAGGAGUUUGUCAUUGUGCCAAUUCCAGAUCAAUAACUGCAUGUCUGCUCUGGGUAGACGUAGCUCUUGCUUUAAGUAACCAUAUCUAUAUCCUCUCCAUUUGGAGGAGAGCUUUUUUCAUAUGACAAUGUGUAAUGAUGUUUUCUUUUAACUCAUCUCUGUGUCUUCAUUUCAGUCAUGAAAUUUGAGAUGUAAACAUAAAGGUCAAUAUUAUCUUUAUUUUUUAACUGAAUUUUUUUGGUAACUGGAUCAUAAUGUUUGUGCAGUUUUUACACGUUCAAAAAUUGUUGUGUUGAAA